GACGAACGCUGGCGGCGUGCCUAACACAUGCAAGUCGAGCGAUGAAACCCUUCGGGGUGGAUUAGCGGCGGACGGGUGAGUAACACGUGGGUAACCUGCCUCAAAGAGGGGAAUAGCCUCCCGAAAGGGAGAUUAAUACCGCAUAAUAUGUUUUAAUCGCAUGAUUGAAACAUCAAAGGAAUUUUCUUUUAGAGAAUUCCACUUUGAGAUGGACCCGCGGCGCAUUAGCUAGUUGGUGAGGUAACGGCCCACCAAGGCAACGAUGCGUAGCCGACCUGAGAGGGUGAUCGGCCACAUUGGAACUGAGACACGGUCCAGACUCCUACGGGAGGCUG
rnacentral:rRNA from 1 species